rnacentral:rRNA from 1 species
GUGAGCUAAGACCACACUAAAGGACAAAAAGACCCUCUGAAGCUUUAUAGGGAUAAAAUCUAGUACACAUCCAGGCGUUUGUAUACAAGGUGAUGGCCCCAAGAAGCGAGACGAUGACGAUAAAGAGCCAGAAGAUGCAGCGUGGUAAACACAAG